AACAUUUCUUUUAGUUAACAAAAAUGAAAAGUAAGGCCUGCCCACUGUAAUUAUAAAGGGCCGCGGUAUUAUGACCGUGCAAAGGUAGCAUAAUCAUUAGUCUUUUAAUUGGAGAAUGGUAUGAAUGGCUAAAUGGUUUUUUAUUUUCUUUUUUAAAUAUUUUGAAUUUUGAUUUUAAGUGAAAAUACUUAAAUAAAUUAAGUAGACGAUAAGACCCUAUAGAAUUUUAUUUUAAUUAUUAUUUUAAUAAAUUAGUUAAAGUUUAAAUGGGGAAUUAAUAGAAUAAAAAAAACUUCUUUUUUUUAACAUAAGUUAAAGUCUUUAAAGUUAAAGGUUUUAUAAAAAUUACCUUAGGGAUAACAGCGUAAUUAUUUUUAAGAGUUCAUAUCGACAAAAUAGUUUGCGACCUCGAUGUUGAAUUAAAAUACCUAAAGGGGGCAGAUUUUUUUUAAGGUAGUCUGUUCGACUAUGAAAUUUUUACAUGAUUUGAUU
rnacentral:rRNA from 1 species